rnacentral:rRNA from 1 species
CCUACGGGUGGCUGCAGUGGGGAAUAUUGGACAAUGGGGGCAACCCUGAUCCAGCCAUGCCGCGUGUGUGAAGAAGGCCCUCGGGUUGUAAAGCACUUUCAGUGAGGAAGAACGCCUGGUGGUUAAUACCCAUCAGGAAAGACAUCACUCACAGAAGAAGCACCGCCUAACUCCGUGCCAGCAGCCGCGGUAAUACGGAGGGUGCGAGCGUUAAUCGGAAUUACUGGGCGUAAAGCGCGCGUAGGUGGCUUGAUAAGCCGGUUGUGAAAGCCCCGGGCUCAACCUGGGAACGGCAUCCGGAACUGUCAAGCUAGAGUGAAGGAGGGGAAGGUAGAAAUCACGGUGUAGCGGUGAAAUGCGUAGAGAUCGGGAGGAAUACCAGUGGCGAAGGCGGCCUUCUGGACUGACACUGACACUGAGGUGCGAAAGCGUGGGUAGCAAACAGGAUUAGAUACCCUUGUAGU